AAACCCAAUGUGAACGUUACCAAACUGUUGCCUCGGCGGGAUCUCUGCCCCGGGUGCGUCGCAGCCCCGGACCAAGGCGCCCGCCGGAGGACCAACCAAAACUCUUUUGUAUACCCCCUCGCGGGUUUUUUAUAUCUGAGCCAUCUCGGCGCCUCUCGUAGGCGUUUCGAAAAUGAAUCAAAACUUUCAACAACGGAUCUCUUGGUUCUGGCAUCGAUGAAGAACGCAGCGAAAUGCGAUAAGUAAUGUGAAUUGCAGAAUUCAGUGAAUCAUCGAAUCUUUGAACGCACAUUGCGCCCGCCAGUAUUCUGGCGGGCAUGCCUGUCCGAGCGUCAUUUCAACCCUCGAACCCCUCCGGGGGGUCGGCGUUGGGGAUCGGCCCUUUACGGGGCCGGCCCCGAAAUACAGUGGCGGUCUCGCCGCAGCCUCUCCUGCGCAGUAGUUUGCACACUCGCAUCGGGAGCGCGGCGCGUCCAUUGCCGUAAAAC
rnacentral:rRNA from 1 species